rnacentral:misc_RNA from 1 species
AUGAAAUGCAAGGACGCUCUUUUUAGAGGUGCUAGGGCUGUCGCUAUCUUUGUGCACGCCCUGGUGCUCUCUCACAAUCCAUAUCACCCCUUGUGCAUCACCGUGUGGGUGCUCUCCUUUCUAAAAAGGGAGCAUUUGCACUUUUACACAGACCCACUGCAUGUCUAGAAUGUCUUAGUAUUUGCGAUAAUAUGCAAUCAAUA